UACGUAGGGGGCAAGCGUUGUCCGGAUUUAUUGGGCGUAAAGAGCUCGUAGGUGGUUCGGUAAGUCGGAUGUGAAAUCUCCAGGCUCAACCUGGAGGGGUCAUUCGAUACUGCCGUGACUAGAGGUCGGUAGGGGAGUGUGGAAUUCCUGGUGGAGCGGUGAAAUGCGCAGAUAUCAGGAGGAACACCCGUAGCGAAGGCGGCACUCUGGGCCGAUACUGACACUGAGGAGCGAAAGCGUGGGGAGCGAACAGGAUUAGAUACCCUGGUAGUCCACGCCGUAAACGUUGGGCACUAGGUGUGGGACUCUAUCGACGGGUUCCGUGCCGUAGCUAACGCAUUAAGUGCCCCGCCUGGGGAGUACGGCCGCAAGGCUAAA
rnacentral:rRNA from 1 species